rnacentral:rRNA from 1 species
CGUGGAGACAGGUGGUGCAUGGCUGUCGUCAGCUCGUGUCGUGAGAUGUUGGGUUAAGUCCCGCAACGAGCGCAACCCUCACCCCUUGUUGCCAACAGAUUAUGCUGGGCACUCUAGGGGAACUGCCCCGGUCAACGGGGAGGAAGGCGGGGAUGACGUCAAGUCAUCAUGCCCCUUACGUCCUGGGCUACACACGUGCUACAAUGGCCGGUACAGAGGGAUGCAAGACCGCGAGGUGGAGCUAAACCCAAAAAGCCGGUCUAAGUUCAGAUUGGAGUCUGCAACUCGACUCCAUGAAGGAGGAACCGCUAGUAAUCGCGCAUCAGCACGGCGCGGUGAACACGUUCCCGGGCCUUGUACACACCGCCCGUCACACCACGAAAGCCAGCUGUACUCGAAGUCGCUGAG